GUUCCCCUGAAUUUAUGAUUGAAAUGUAUAGGGGGUCGGACCUGCCCAGUGACUAGAAUGUUAAACGGCCGCGGUACCCUAACCGUGCAAAGGUAGCAUAAUCAUUUGCCUUUUAAUUGGAGGCUUGUAUGAAUGGUUUGACGAGAGCUAAGCUGUCUCUUUAAAAAUAUUUAGAAAUUAACUUUUAGGUGAAGAGGCCUAAAUGAAUUUAAGGGACAAGAAGACCCUAUUGAGCUUUAGUAAGCCCGAUUAUGGUAGUCAAUUUUUAUGUAAAUUUAAAAAUUAAAUUGUCGGGUAAUCUUUAGUUGGGGCGACUGAGGAACAUGAGAAGCUUCCUUUAAAUGCUAAAAAGUUGUUUUAUGGAAUAUUUGGUGAAUUCUAAUAUGUUACACUGAUCCAGUUUAAUCUGAUUAGAAGAAAAAGUUACCAUAGGGAUAACAGCGUAAUCUUUCUGGAGAGAUCUUAUCGAAAGAAGGGUUUGCGACCUCGAUGUUGGACUAGGAUAUCCUGGAGGCGUAGAAGUUUCUAAAGGUUGGUCUGUUCGACCAUUAAAAUCCU
rnacentral:rRNA from 1 species